UGCUGCUCUCUAAGCACGGUUCUGCAGACUGUAGGUGUGGCUUCACUGGUGUUACUGGGGCUGGUGUUGGGACUGCUUCAGCUGAGGAAACGGCAGGUACCCUGACGUCUUCAUGUCAGUCCCUUCUUGUUCCUGCAGCUGGGAAACACUUUGAUGGACAUGAGGCCUCUAUGAGAAGCAUGUCCGACUGUCCUCCAUGCAGCGGACGGGAGAUCGUCCCAAACAGGA